GUCACACAGGUAAUGAGUGACAGUCAUGGUGGAAUAGUGGCAAUUGGGAGCCAGAAUCUGGUGCCUCUCCUGAUGAUCUCAUUAACAGGCUACUCUCUUCCAAUGCUGGGCAGAGCUGCAGCCCCUAAUCAGCCACAUGACGACAAGGGUAAA